rnacentral:rRNA from 1 species
AGAAUCAACGCUGGCGGCGUGCCUAACACAUGCAAGUCGAACGAGAAAGUGGAGCAAUCCAUGAGUAAAGUGGCGACCGGGUGAGUAACACGUGACUAACCUACCUUCGAGUGGGGGAUAACCUCGGGAACCGAGGCUAAUACCGCAUAACAUCGCAAGAUCAAAGCAGCAAUGCGCUGGAAGAGGGGGUCGCGGCUGAUUAGCUAGUUGGCGGGGUAAUGGCCCACCAAGGCGAAGAUCGGUA